rnacentral:rRNA from 1 species
UACGUAGGCAGCGAGCGUUGUUCGGAGUUACUGGGCGUAAAGAGUGCGUAGGCGGCUUUGUAAGUUAGAGGUGAAAGCCUGGAGCUCAACUCCAGAAUUGCCUUUAAGACUGCAUCGCUUGAAUCCGGGAGAGGUGAGUGGAAUUCCGAGUGUAGAGGUGAAAUUCGUAGAUAUUCGGAAGAACACCAGUGGCGAAGGCGGCUCACUGGACCGGUAUUGACGCUGAGGUGCGAAAGCGUGGGGAGCAAACAGG